rnacentral:lncRNA from 1 species
CAUGCGCGGUCUGCCUCCCGCGGCGGGCCGGGUCUCCAGGGAGGACCUGAGUUUUCUUCACCCAUGGUCAGGGAAGCGCCAUCGCCCUGGCUUUGGGGCUGGGGCCUCCGGGGAGGUUCCGGUAGGGGCGUUGGAGAGGCCGCUCUUUUUGCAAGGCCCGAGACGGCGGGCCCUGCGCAGGCCGCCCUAUUCCGCGCCCUCAGGACGUCAGUAUCCGCCUGAGGCCGGAUACCCCCUCUGGGCCCGGAUGCCCCCGCUGGGCCCGGAGCAUCCUCGGCGCUGCCCUCCCAGAGCCCCGCAGAGGCUGAGGUGGCGCGGGGGCGGCCCUGGCUCCGCGAAAAGCGGCGGCAGCGAGGGCUGGAGGACCCGGGCUACGGGGCUCCGGGGCGUCUGGCCUGGGUGGGACUGAGCCCAUCCAGGGACUGGGACUCCGGGAUUCUGUUGUAGGUGGAUCUGGGGCAGGCUCAGGACCAAGUCCCUCUCCUUCCACCAAGGAGCGCCCAGAGGCCGGCGGGAGCUCCAGGUUCACCUCCUCCUCCUCCAGGAAAUCCCACUUCCAACUGGAUGAACUACUGAAAGCUGCUGAGUGUCCUGCAGCAGCUUGACUACCACACAAAUUAAUCCACUCAAAUGUUGGCAAGUGGAGCAGAGUCCCAGGACAGGUACAGAAACACCCCCAGUUCAAGGAUCUUCACACCUGGAUUUAGGCCUACACCUGCAACUACCCCAGAACCUGGAAUUUAUAUGUUCAAGAUGGAGCCAUCUCAGCCAUGACAACAGAGAAUGUACCACUCUCAUGGGGUAAUAUUGAGUUCCAGAAGGCAAAGAUUAACAUUCAGAAAAAUAGGAAAAACAACCUGCAGAGUUACUAUGAAUUAUUAUAUUGUGGCUACUUACACCAAGAUGAAGAUAAUUAUUAGUUCAGGAAGAAUCUGCAUUCUGAAGGCAAAUAGAAGUUCCAGCUACAGAUGGGCAGACGCAUGCCCUCUCAAUUCCUGAUGGACCUCCUGUGCCUCCUGAACCUAAGGGGCCUCCCUCAAUGUUCAAGAUGCCACCAAGGCAGGGAUCAGCUCGUGCAUUCCUGAGAACAUCCAGAUGAAGUGAGGCUCUGGAAAAAUGCAAGAGUUUCCACAUAAUCCCAAAAAACCCUAAGGUGAACUGGAUGCCACAGAAAGAGGAGUGGUCUUUGUCACAACAAAAUCAACAAAAUUAUUUCGAAGUCAAUUAGGAAACUCAGAAAUCACUCUUGCUGCCAUUAAGAGGAAGAAUAGGAGCCUGUGAAUGGCAUCCCUGGCCUACCUGAGACUCCACAGAUAUUUCUAUGUGGCUUCAGACACCAGAAAUCUCUCUGAUUUUCAGAAAGGCAGGGACAGCUCCUGCCAGCCCAUCCCUCUGCAGAAUGUGUCCCAGCAGAUCAGU